rnacentral:rRNA from 1 species
UCUCCGUAGGUGAACCUGCGGAGGGAUCAUUACUGAGUUUACGCUCUACAACCCUUUGUGAACAUACCUAUAACUGUUGCUUCGGCGGGUAGGGUCUCCGCGACCCUCCCGGCCUCCCGCCCCCGGGCGGGUCGGCGCCCGCCGGAGGAUAACCAAACUCUGAUUUAACGACGUUUCUUCUGAGUGGUACAAGCAAAUAAUCAAAACUUUUAACAACGGAUCUCUUGGUUCUGGCAUCGAUGAAGAACGCAGCGAAAUGCGAUAAGUAAUGUGAAUUGCAGAAUUCAGUGAAUCAUCGAAUCUUUGAACGCACAUUGCGCCCGCCAGCAUUCUGGCGGGCAUGCCUGUUCGAGCGUCAUUUCAACCCUCAAGCUCUGCUUGGUGUUGGGGCCCUACAGCCGAUGUAGGCCCUCAAAGGUAGUGGCGGACCCUCCCGGAGCCUCCUUUGCGUAGUAACUUUACGUCUCGCACUGGGAUCCGGAGGGACUCUUGCCGUAAAACCCCCCAAUUUUCCAAAGGUUGACCUCGGAGUCAGGUAGGAAUACCCGCUGAACUUAAGCAUAUCAAUAAGCGGAGG